rnacentral:rRNA from 1 species
UUAAGUGAAUAAGGGCGCACGGUGGAUGCCUUGGCACUAGGAGCCGAUGAAGGACGGGACUAACACCGAUAUGCUUUGGGGAGCUGUAAGUAAGCUAUGAUCCAGAGAUUUCCGAAUGGGGGAACCCAAUAUCUUUUAUAGGAUAUUACUUUUCAGUGAAUACAUAGCUGAUUAGAGGUAGACGCAGAGAACUGAAACAUCUUAGUAUCUGCAGGAAGAGAAAGAAAAUUCGAUUCCCUGAGUAGCGGCGAGCGAAACGGGAAGAGCCCAAACCAACAAGCUUGCUUGUUGGGGUUGUAGGACUCCGAUAUGGUAGUCUGUUAGUAUAGUUGAAGGAUUUGGAAAAUUCCGCUAAAGAGGGUGAAAGCCCCGUAGACGAAAUGCUGACAACACCUAGGAGGAUCCUGAGUACGGCGGAACACGAGAAAUUCCGUCGGAAUCCGCGGGGACCAUCCCGCAAGGCUAAAUACUCCCUAGUGACCGAUAGUGAACCAGUACCGUGAGGGAAAGGUGAAAAGCACCCCGGAAGGGGAGUGAAAUAGAUCCUGAAACCGUGUGCCUACAACAAGUCAAAGCUCGUUAAUGAGUGAUGGCGUGCCUUUUGUAGAAUGAACCGGCGAGUUACGAUUGCAUGCGAGGUUAAGUCGAAGAGACGGAGCCGCAGCGAAAGCGAGUCUGAAUAGGGCGAAUGAGUAUGUAGUCGUAGACCCGAAACCAUGUGAUCUACCCAUGUCCAGGUUGAAGGUGCGGUAAAACGCACUGGAGGACCGAACCCACGUACGUUGAAAAGUGCGGGGAUGAGGUGUGGGUAGCGGAGAAAUUCCAAACGAACUUGGAGAUAGCUGGUUCUCUCCGAAAUAGCUUUAGGGCUAGCCUCGGAAUUGAGAAUGAUGGAGGUAGAGCACUGUUUGGACUAGGGGCCCAUCUCGGGUUACCGAAUUCAGAUAAACUCCGAAUGCCAUUCAUUUAUAUCCGGGAGUCAGACUGCGAGUGAUAAGAUCCGUAGUCGAAAGGGAAACAGCCCAGACCACCAGCUAAGGUCCCAAAAUAUAUGUUAAGUGGAAAAGGAUGUGGGGUUGCACAGACAACUAGGAUGUUGGCUUAGAAGCAGCCACCAUUUAAAGAGUGCGUAAUAGCUCACUAGUCGAGUGACCCUGCGCCGAAAAUGUACCGGGGCUAAACAUAUUACCGAAGCUGUGGACUACACCAUUAGGUGUAGUGGUAGGAGAGCGUUCUAAGGGCGUUGAAGGUCGAUCGUGAGGACGGCUGGAGCGCUUAGAAGUGAGAAUGCCGGUAUGAGUAGCGAAAGACAGGUGAGAAUCCUGUCCACCGUAUGACUAAGGUUUCCUGGGGAAGGCUCGUCCGCCCAGGGUUAGUCGGGACCUAAGCCGAGGCCGAUAGGCGUAGGCGAUGGACAACAGGUUGAUAUUCCUGUACCAGUUGUUUUUGUUUGAGCAAUGGAGGGACGCAGUAGGCUAAGGAAUGCAUGCGAUUGGAAGUGCAUGUCCAAGCAAUGAGUCUUGAGUAGAGUUAAAUGCUUUACUCUCUAAGGACAAGUUGUGACGGGGAGCGAAAUAAUAGUAGCGAAGUUCCUGAUGUCACACUGCCAAGAAAAGCUUCUAGUGAGAAAACAACUGCCCGUACCGUAAACCGACACAGGUAGUCGAGGAGAGUAUCCUAAGGUGAGCGAGCGAACUCUCGUUAAGGAACUCGGCAAAAUGACCCCGUAACUUUGGGAGAAGGGGUGCUGACUUCGGUCAGCCGCAGUGAAUAGGCCCAAGCGACUGUUUAUCAAAAACACAGGUCUCUGCAAAAUCGUAAGAUGAAGUAUAGGGGCUGACGCCUGCCCGGUGCUGGAAGGUUAAGAGGAUGGGUUAGCUUCGGCGAAGCUCAGAAUUGAAGCCCCAGUAAACGGCGGCCGUAACUAUAACGGUCCUAAGGUAGCGAAAUUCCUUGUCGGGUAAGUUCCGACCCGCACGAAAGGCGUAACGAUUUGGGCACUGUCUCAACGAGAGACUCGGUGAAAUUUUAGUACCUGUGAAGAUGCAGGUUACCCGCGACAGGACGGAAAGACCCCAUGGAGCUUUACUGUAGUUUGAUAUUGAGUGUUUGUACCACAUGUACAGGAUAGGUAGGAGCCGAUGAGACCGGAACGCUAGUUUCGGAGGAGGCGCUGGUGGGAUACUACCCUUGUGUUAUGAACCCUCUAACCCGCACCACUAAUCGUGGUGGGAGACAGUGUCAGAUGGGCAGUUUGACUGGGGCGGUCGCCUCCUAAAAGGUAACGGAGGCGCCCAAAGGUUCCCUCAGAAUGGUUGGAAAUCAUUCGAAGAGUGUAAAGGCAGAAGGGAGCUUGACUGCGAGACCUACAAGUCGAGCAGGGACGAAAGUCGGGCUUAGUGAUCCGGUGGUUCCGCAUGGAAGGGCCAUCGCUCAACGGAUAAAAGCUACCCUGGGGAUAACAGGCUUAUCUCCCCCAAGAGUCCACAUCGACGGGGAGGUUUGGCACCUCGAUGUCGGCUCGUCGCAUCCUGGGGCUGUAGUCGGUCCCAAGGGUUGGGCUGUUCGCCCAUUAAAGCGGCACGCGAGCUGGGUUCAGAACGUCGUGAGACAGUUCGGUCCCUAUCCGUCGCGGGCGUUGGAAAUUUGAGAGGAGCUGUCCUUAGUACGAGAGGACCGGGAUGGACUUACCGCUGGUGUACCAGUUGUUCUGCCAAGGGCAUUGCUGGGUAGCUAUGUAGGGAAGGGAUAAACGCUGAAAGCAUCUAAGUGUGAAGCCCACCUCAAGAUGAGAUUUCCCAUUUCUUUAAGAAAGUAAGACCCCUGAGAGAUGAUCAGGUAGAUAGGUUGGAAGUGGAAGGCUAGUGAUAGUUGGAGCGGACCAAUACUAAUCGGUCGAGGACUUAACCAA